GACGAACCGUGCGAACGUUAUUCGGAAUCACUGGGCUUAAAGCGUGUGUAGGCGGGUCGUUAAGUACCUUGUGAAAUCCCCCCGGCUCAACCGGGGAACGGCUGGGUAUACUGGCGAUCUUGAGCCACCUAGGGGCAGUCGGAACAAGUGGUGGAGCGGUGAAAUGCGUAGAUAUCACUUGGAACGCCAAUGGUGAAAACAGACUGCUGGGGGUGUGCUGACGCUGGAGACACGAAAGCCGGGGAGCAAACGGG
rnacentral:rRNA from 1 species